CCGCAAGGUUAAAACUCAAAUGAAUUGACGGGGGCCCGCACAAGCGGUGGAGCAUGUGGUUUAAUUCGAUGCAACGCGAAGAACCUUACCUGGUCUUGACAUCCACGGAAGUUUUCAGAGAUGAGAAUGUGCCUUCGGGAACCGUGAGACAGGUGCUGCAUGGCUGUCGUCAGCUCGUGUUGUGAAAUGUUGGGUUAAGUCCCGCAACGAGCGCAACCCUUAUCCUUUGUUGCCAGCGGUCCGGCCGGG
rnacentral:rRNA from 1 species